GUGAGAAGGCUAAACGGAGAGGCCGGAGAUCGCGGGAAGCUGCCAAGACUUGGGAGCCUAGGGGUUGCGGGAGGCAAAGCCGGGUGAGUCUGGGGCUGGGCCUGCCGCAGUUAAGGGGCGGAGUCGCGACUGUCUGUGGUCCCCGCAAUUGAAACUGUAGACUGGGGCUGCAGAGGAUUUGCGUCGGGUGUUCGGGGAAGUGUGACCAGAGAACUUAACCCAGGAAGGGGCUUUGGGAACCUGGGCGACCCUGGAAGUCCUGACUGCUGCUUUUCAUCCCUUUCUCCACCUGGUGUAGCUCCAGCCACAAUGAUUGAGGUGGUUUGCAACGACCGUCUAGGAAAGAAAGUCCGCGUUAAGUGCAACACCGAUGACACCAUCGGCGACCUGAAGAAACUGAUAGCGGCUCAAACUGGCACCCGCUGGAAUAAGAUCGUUCUUAAAAAGUGGUAAGUACGCGCUGGUCAGUAUCAGGCUAGAGGGCGUUCGUUGGAGCGAGCACCUCAAGACAAUCCCGAAGAGCUUGUUUUCAGGACAAAAAACACCCCACCCCUUAUCAGCUUCUCUCUGAAAGCUAUCUAUCCCGUAGGUACACGAUUUUUAAAGACCACGUGUCUCUGGGAGACUGUAUCCUUUCAAGAAAGAAUUCACGUAUUUAUCUCAAGUUCUGGUUCUGUGCUGAAACCUGUACAGAAAUUAAGCAAGAGGGAUGCUUAACUUAGAAUAUGCCCCAUUAUGACUACUGAGAAAAUGGAAACUGUGGAAAUUAUUUUGCUGGUGAGAAGGAUCGUUGGCGAAAUAUACUUGGUUCAAAAUACUUAUUUACUGAAUGCCAACUUGAGUGUUGGACAGGAGGAGUGUGACUGUAGUUGAGGAGAUGGAUGGAUGGAUGGAUUGAUGGUUGGGUUUUUUUUUUUUUAAUUUGGGGAGGGGAGGUCUGGAUCUUUUGUCUGCAAUUAUGUCUGUGCACCGCAUGUAUGCCUGCUGCUGGCAGAGACCAGAAGGAAGCUUCAGAUUCCCUGGAGCCACCACGGGAGCUCUGGGACGUAAAGCCAGGUCUCUGGGAGAGCAGGCCUGAGAGCUCUUCAGCUGCUGAGCUGUCUCCAGCCUGAAUAACCAUUGACAAUGUAUUGUUCUGUGUGUAUGAUGGGGUGGGGGCACUUGAGGAUUUGACUCUGUACACCAGGCUUCAGUGGCAAACAACUUUGCCUUCUCAGUGGUCUUAAGGACCACUGAAUAUUAUUUAUAGUUUGGAGUUCUUAGAUCAAAGUGUCCAUUCCUUAACCCAGGGCUGGGUGUUGAGCCACAGGACCCAGCUGUGAGUAGAUGGAAGGUAGAUCAGCUCCCAGUGAAAGUUCCUUAAUGCUUGCCCUUCAGAUGAGAUCCACGACGGGAUGAACCUGGAGCUUUAUUACCAGUAGAGGGGACUCCUCCCUCCUCCCCUCGUCUCCCUGCUCUGCCCUGCCUUCCCCUCCCUCCCUCAUUUGACACUGGUAUAGAUGGUCAUUUUUAACAGUUCACAUGAAUAAAAUUUUGCUGCUGC
rnacentral:lncRNA from 1 species